UGUCAUGGAGCUGCUCUCUUUA
rnacentral:miRNA from 2 species